GAUGAAGAACGUAGCGAAAUGCGAUAAGUAAUGUGAAUUGCAGAAUUCAGUGAAUCAUCGAAUCUUUGAACGCACAUUGCGCCCGCCAGUAUUCUGGCGGGCAUGCCUGCCCGAGCGUCAUUUCAACCCUCGAACCCCUCCGGGGGGUCGGCGUUGGGGAUCGGCACUUACCUGCCGGCCCCGAAAUACAGUGGCGGUCUCGCCGCAGCCUCUCCUGCGCAGUAGUUUGCACACUCGCACCGGGAGCGCGGCGCGUCCACGGCCGUAAAACAACCCAAACUUCUGAAAUGUUGACCUCGGAUAAGGUAGGAAUACCCGCUGAACUUAAGCAUAUCAAUAAGCGGAGGA
rnacentral:misc_RNA from 1 species